GUGCGGAAAGGCCCUUCGGGGUGCUCGAGCGGCGAACGGGUGAGUAACACGUGAGCAACCUGCCCCUGGCUCUGGGAUAGCUCCGGGAGACCGGGAUUAAUACCGGAUGUGACUCGUGGGUGCAUGCCUGCGGGUGGAAAGGUUUUCCGGCUGGGGAUGGGCUCGCGGCCUAUCAGCUUGUUGGCAGGGUGAUGGCCUACCAAGGCGACGACGGGUAGCCGGCCUGAGAGGGCGACCGGCCACACUGGGACUGAGACACGGCCCAGACUCCUACGGGAGGCAGCAGUGGGGAAUAUUGCGCAAUGGGCGGAAGCCUGACGCAGCGACGCCGCGUGGGGGAUGAAGGCCUUACGGGUUGUAAACCUCUUUCAGCAGGGGCGAAGCGAGAGUGACGGUACCUGCAGAAGAAGCGCCGGCUAACUACGUGCCAGCAGCCGCGGUAAU
rnacentral:rRNA from 1 species